UAGUGUUUUUUUUUCUCCGUAGACCCUUUGCAAAAUAACGCGUUCGUUAUCUUUGUGACGUUACUCCGACUGUAAUAGUCCCGAUUAAAAUUUCGAUUCCGAUACGCGCGAAAAACACAAACAAUUUAUUACCGAUAUCGUUUAUGAACACACUGAUAAUACUAUUAUAACGGUACGCUUUACAAAGGAUCGCCGUACUGAUUUUCGAGUUUCCCGUCGUUUUACAUUUCAGUCGUAAAAUAUAGAAUAUUGUUAUACGCUUUCUCGGUUGUUCUCGUUUCGGAUAUGAUAAUAUUAUAGUUCCAAUUAAAUUUUCUCGAGAAUACGGACAACACUUAUAGCGGUAGUUCGAUAAAGUUCUCGCAGUCGACGUUAACAUUUGAGCGACAUUCGUUCCUUUGUUUUU